GCAGCAGUAGGGAAUCUUCCACAAUGGACGAAAGUCUGAUGGAGCAAUACCAUGUGAACGAUGAAGGCCUUUUUGGUUGUAAAGUUCUUUUACGAGGGAUAAUUAUGAUAGUACUUCGUGAAUAAGUGACAGCAAACUAUGUGCCAGCAGCUGCGGUAAUACAUAGGUCGCAAGCAUUAUUCGGAUUUAUUGGGCGUAAAGCAAGCGCAGGCGGAUGUGUAAGUUCUGUGUUAAAUGCAGCUACUCAAUAGUUGUAUGCACCGAAUACUACAUGUCUAGAUUGUGGUAGGGAGUUUCGGAAUUAAGCAUGGAGCGGUGGAAUGUGUAGAUAUGCUUAAGAACACCAGAGGCGAAGGCGGAAACUUAGGCCAUAAAUGACGCUUAGGCUUGAAAGUGUGGGGAGCAAAUGGGAUUAGAUACCCCAGUAGUCCACACCGUAAACGAUGGGUAUUAGAUAUUAGGGCUUUAGCUUUAGUGUUGUAGCUUACGCGUUAAAUACCCCGCCUGGGUAGUACAUAUGCAAAUAUGAAACUCAAAGGAAUUGACGGGGACCUGAACAAGUGGUGGAGCAUGUUGCUUAAUUCGAUAAUACACGAAAAACCUUACCAAGGUUUGACAUCCCUCGCAAAGCUAUAGAAAUAUAGUAGAGGUUAUCGAGGUGACAGGUGGUGCA
rnacentral:rRNA from 1 species